AAGACUAUAGACCUGCGGAGUACCUGCGGAGGGAUCAUUAACGAGUGUAACUUACCCUUUUUUUUAAAAGAGGGUAGUACCUCCUGUCCUUUGUAGGCCCCUUUUUAUUGGGGGGCUUUUUAAGACUUUCUGCUUCGGCGGGGUUAUUCCCGCCGGAACACCCUCAAAAAACUCUUCAAAAACUAAUUCAGUCCGAGAAUUUUUGAAAAUAAAAAAAACUUUCAGCAACGGAUCUCUAGA
rnacentral:misc_RNA from 1 species